UCCGGAGCUAACGCGUUAAAUCGACCGCCUGGGGAGUACGGCCGCAAGGUUAAAACUCAAAUGAAUUGACGGGGGCCCGCACAAGCGGUGGAGCAUGUGGUUUAAUUCGAUGCAACGCGAAGAACCUUACCUACUCUUGACAUCCAGAGAACUUUCCAGAGAUGGAUUGGUGCCUUCGGGAACUCUGAGACAGGUGCUGCAUGGCUGUCGUCAGCUCGUGUUGUGAAAUGUUGGGUUAAGUCCCGCAACGAGCGCAACCCUUAUCCUUUGUUGCCAGCGGUUCGGCCGGGAACUCAAAGGAGACUGCCAGUGAUAAACUG
rnacentral:rRNA from 1 species